CAGAGUAGGAAUUUACGCGUAAAGUGCUUUCCGAACGGGGAGUUGUCGGAAAGACGAAAGUAUUUACUGCGGUGUAAGUUCCGCAUCCCACUGU
rnacentral:ncRNA from 1 species